rnacentral:misc_RNA from 1 species
AAAAGCUUAGUUGAGUUGAGUUAGUUUCAUGUACACAUAAAGCCACAAAUACCUAUGUAAUAAGCAAUUGGCAAAAGUUAUAUUUGUUAAUUUCUUUGAAGAAAUGACAAAUAUAAAAUAUUAUUCUAUUUUUUUUAUUUCUAGAAGUCCAAAAAAUAAUUAUGAACUCUCUUUUUGGAAAAUGGUUGGUAAAUAGAUAUGUUAAUUUUUGGAAAGGAACAUAAUUUUUUUUGUAUAUUAUCAUCAUUGUAAAGAAAUCUUCAAAAAGCAAAUUUUAUUUUAUUUGUAAAUUUAAAUUGUUAUGUAGCUUCACAUGUAUAUUUACUCCACUUAAUUUAUUGCAAUGGCUACCAAGAUGUUGAGAUCCAUUUCCAUAGCUAUAACUGAUUAUUAAAAUGAUGGGACAAUCGAAAGAGCAUAUAAAGUGCAUUUUUUUUUUAAUCAUUUUUCCAUCUAGAAAGCCAACGACAUGAAGUUUGGUACAUAGAAAAUUAAAUGAUGUUGGCCCUUUUUGGAUUUUCAUUUGAUUAUGCACAGCAAACUAUUGAUUUUACUGAUAUGCAUUUAGUUCCGGCCCAUUAAUUUGGGUUCCGGAAAGAAAGUUUAAAUUUUAGUCAUGUAGCAUUGAUGAAUAAUGUGCAUAAGGUCCCAUAUACUGAUCCAAUAGAACAUGUGGUACAAUGUCAUUGUUGUACUGUUACCUUUGAGAUUAUGCGGUGCAAGGACAUUACUAUGUUUGGAGAUUGUGACAACAGUGUCAAAAAUAUAACAGGUGCUGAAUUUUCAGCAUUUAAAUUAUGUUGGUAUUUGCUUUAGUUUUGAUUUGCAUGUGGAAUUGUGGACAACAUUUAAAAUAUAAUUUGGAAAGAAGAAACCAUCUUUUUUUUAUUUGAGAAACAAUCUUUUUUUUUAUUUUUUAUUUAAUGUGUGUUAUGUAUUGGUGCUUGAACAGGUUAUGUUGGACCAUAUGAUGCC